rnacentral:rRNA from 1 species
AAUAGAUACCCGGGUAGUCCACGCUGUAAACGUUGGGCGCUAGGUGUGGGGGGCCUCUCCGGUUCUCUGUGCCGCAGCUAACGCAUUAAGCGCCCCGCCUGGGGAGUACGGCCGCAAGGCUAAAACUCAAAGGAAUUGACGGGGGGCCCGCACAAGCGGCGGAGCAUGCGGAUUAAUUCGAUGCAACGCGAAGAACCUUACCUGGGUUUGACAUGGCCGCAAAACCGGCAGAGAUGUCGGGUCCUUCGGGGGCGGUCACAGGUGGUGCAUGGCUGUCGUCAGCUCGUGUCGUGAGAUGUUGGGUUAAGUCCCGCAACGAGCGCAACCCUCGUUCGAUGUUGCCAGCGCGUUAUGGCGGGGACUCAUCGAAGACUGCCGGGGUCAACUCGGAGGAAGGUGGGGAUGACGUCAAGUCAUCAUGCCCCUUAUGUCCAGGGCUUCACGCAUGCUACAAUGGCCGGUACAAUGGGCUGCGAUACCGUGAGGUGGAGCGAAUCCCAAAAGCCGGUCUCAGUUCGGAUCGGGGUCUGCAACUCC